rnacentral:rRNA from 1 species
GUGAACCUUUACUAUAGCUUGACACUGAACAUUGAGCCUUGAUGUGUAGGAUAGGUGGGAGGCUUUGAAGUGUGGACGCCAGUCUGCAUGGAGCCGACCUUGAAAUACCACCCUUUAAUGUUUGAUGUUCUAACGUGGACCCGUUACCCGGGUUGCGGACAGUGUCUGGUGGGUAGUUUGACUGGGGCGGUCUCCUCCUAAAGAGUAACGGAGGAGCACGAAGGUUGGCUAAUCCUGGUCGGACAUCAGGAGGUUAGUGCAAUGGCAUAAGCCAGCUUGACUGCGAGCGUGACGGCGCGAGCAGGUGCGAAAGCAGGUCAUAGUGAUCCGGUGGUUCUGAAUGGAAGGGCCAUCGCUCAACGGAUAAAAGGUACUCCGGGGAUAACAGGCUGAUACCGCCCAAGAGUUCAUAUCGACGGCGGUGUUUGGCACCUCGAUGUCGGCUCAUCACAUCCUGGGGCUGAAGUAGGUCCCAAGGGUAUGGCUGUUCGCCAUUUAAAGUGGUACGCGAGCUGGGUUUAGAACGUCGUGAGACAGUUCGGUCCCUAUCUGCCGUGGGCGCUGGAGAACUGAGGGGGGCUGCUCCUAGUACGAGAGGACCGGAGUGGACGCAUCACUGGUGUUCGGGUUGUCAUGCCAAUGGCACUGCCCGGUAGCUAAAUGCGGAAGAGAUAAGUGCUGAAAGCAUCUAAGCACGAAACUUGCCCCGAGAUGAGUUCUCCCUGAGACUUAGAGUCUCCUGA